GACGAACGCUGGCGGCGUGCCUAAUACAUGCAAGUUGAGCGCUGAAGGUUGGUACUUGUACCAACUGGAUGAGCAGCGAACGGGUGAGUAACGCGUGGGGAAUCUGCCUUUGAGCGGGGGACAACAUUUGGAAACGAAUGCUAAUACCGCAUAAAAACUUUAAACACAAGUUUUAAGUUUGAAAGAUGCAAUUGCAUCACUCAAAGAUGAUUCCGCGUUGUAUUAGCUAGUUGGUGAGGUAAAGGCUCACCAAGGCGAUGAUACAUAGCCGACCUGAGAGGGUGAUCGGCCACAUUGGGACUGAGACACGGCCCAAACUCCUACGGGAGGCAGCAGUAGGGAAUCUUCGGCAAUGGACGAAAGUCUGACCGAGCAACGCCGCGUGAGGGAAGAAGGUUUUCGGAUCGUAAAACUCUGUUGGUAGAGAAGAACGUUGGUGAGAGUGGAAAGCUCAUCAAGUGACGGUAACUACCCAGAAAGGGACGGCUAACUACGUG
rnacentral:rRNA from 1 species